AUUGUAGCUCGUAGGACAUGGAAACCAACGAACGGGUUUUAAGGAUGUGAAUCCAACCUGCGCCAAUGGGCGAUAGAAGCCCCGAAGCCAUGAACGAGAAGCAGAGGAGGUUGAAGGGAAUGAUCUUCGAGUUGGGGUUGGUCUCCAUACCUC